GGAACAGUAAAUGAGAGAGCGGAAAAUUCCAGCCAAACACAAACACCACAAAAGUGUAAAAAUAUGCCUGGUCGCAAAUGUACAACAUCGCAAAAACAGUCCAGUCCUUAAGGGGUUAAGGAAAAAAAGAAUUUAAAUUGAGUAAAAAUUUCUGUUUUCGGCGAUAUGUAACAGUUGUUGAAUCAGUCAAGGUACAAGUAGGCCUAAUAAGAGGUGAUUUAUUAAUUAUUUAUUUUCUGAGAUUAGUUGUUAUUAAUAUUUUUUUGUCCUCUUUUUCAGGCCUACCCAUUCUGUUGUGGGAGGGUUUUUGACAACUUAUAUCUAUCCCCUACCAGCUACCUCCUGACAUUCUGCUGAUGUUUGAAACCCCACCCAACUCUUCCUAUUAUACCGUUUCAACACACCACAACAGACUUGCUCUUACUGGUAAAUCUUAUUAUAUGCCCUUGGCCUUUGUCACCGACCACAUAUAUAAUUUCAUCAUGGUCCAAGUUCUGCUAUAUAUGGCUCUGCUAAUGCAUGUGUGAAUUUCACAUCCAUUUUAGCCUGUCCAACAUUGGGCAGAAAUGAUAACCUAAAUAGUGCGAUGAUAGCACCACGUCAGCCAUGAUUUAUGUCAUAGUCAGUUCCCUAUGUUCUAUUUAAUUUCACAUUUGUCCUAUAAUGCCAUGAUUUAAUAUUUGCAUUACUACACCACCUUAUCUAUGUGUUUUCUGCAUUUACCCCAGUCUUGGUUAAUACAAAAAUUCCAGUUCUAUUUAAUGCCUUACCAUGGUUCAUCCAAAUGUAUCCUAUCAUCUCUGCCAUACUUAAAGGAACACUAUAGGCUCAGGAACACAAUCAUGUAUUCCUGACCCUAUAGUGUUAAACCCACCAUUUAAGAGGCGUGCCUCCCUUUAGAAACUUUUUUCAAACUCACCUUAUUUCCAGCGCCGGGUGGGUCUGCCGAAGCUGGCCCCAUCCCUGAUCUGCCUCCUUGGUGACAUCAUCAGAAUUUCCAAUUUUUAGCCAAUCCAAUGCUUUCCCAAGAGUAAAGCAUUGGAUUGGCUGAAAUCAGAGGCAGGAUGUUUAGUGGCUAGGACAUUUUGGCUAAUCAGCACCUCCUCAUAGAGCUGCAUUGAAUCAAUGCAUCCUUAUGAGGAAAAUUCAGCGUCUCGAUGCAGUGCAUGGAGAUGCUGAACAGCACUGCUGCCUACUGUGCAGCACUGCCCCAGGAAGCACCUCUAGUGGCCAUCUGACGAGUGGCCACUUGGAAGUGUCCCUAGGGGCAAUGUAAAUACUGCCUGUUCUCUGAAAAGGCAGUGUUUGCAUGAAAAUGCCUGAAGGCAAUGAUUAUGCAUUAAGCUGUAGUUGUUCUGGUGACUAUAGUCCCUUUAAUUCCAUAUCUUCUGUUGUGACCCCCCCUAGCCCAUACUACUUUAUUUACCAUAUGUCAGCCAAGAAUACUUGCUUAUUUUCAAUUAUUUAAUGCUUUCACUUGCCAUAUGAUCUGUCAUGUAAUUCAUGUUUUGUGUACAACAAUUCCAUCUGUAAUAUGUUACUCAUUUAUCUUGCGACAAACCCUGUGACCAGACCGCAUUUCACUCUGAGCUCCUCAUGGUACAGCAUGUUCUCAGAGGUGAGCAGAGAGUCCUCAGGUAUCCCUCAGCAGCAGGAUGAAUGGCCUUUCUGAAAAUGCUUGAUUAGUUUGAUUUAAGAGUUAUUUUAUUUAUAUCAUGUUGUUAUUUUACACUUCAUUUAAAGUGGUUUUGUCAGUCAGGUGUCUGCAUAAAUUUGUGACUGUUCUGUGGAUUUUUGCUUGGCGAACAUUGCCUUAUUAGAUGUCAUUGUCUGAUGGGAAUCACCAUUUUAAUGCUGAUACCUAUUACUCACAUUACAGCCUUGAAGCCAAUUAGUAGCAUAUUUUAAGAUGGCCCUAGUCACACAGGUAUGAACCACGGCUCUAUAUACUUUGCAGCUAGUUCUUCAUAAUGUUUCCAGGCAAGCCACAGUUCUCAAAGUUACAUGUUUAAAUAUAUCCAGGCCACGUAUUCACUUUUUGCAUCUUAUAGGGGAGGUUGCUCUCACACCAAGGACCUUUUAGAAGCUGUCCAGAGUUUCACUGUUCAUAUCUGUGAAUGCCAUAGUGACCUUAUGAUCACUGAACGGGCUGUUUUAGUUUGUCCAGCAGCCUUAUUUAUUUGUGUCUGGGUUUUUCUAGAGAGCAGUCCUUGCAGAUCCAGUCAGUUUGUGGUGUUAGGUCCUCUCUGCAGUCAUGGAAUACGACGAGUCUGGACUCUGAGAAAGAUGCUGAAACAGAAUGGACAUUUUUAGAUUCAGAACUUAACCAG